ACUGUGUAAUUGUCUUUUCUCUAAAUAUUUAAAGUUGUGACACAAUAAUUGGAUUUUUAUUUCCCUAGUUGCAUUAUUUUUGCAAAUAAACUAUUGAUUUUCCUCCAUUUUGAAAUAAGAUUUAAAAUCAGACCUUUACAAAUGAGUUUGAAACAAGACAAAGCAUCAUAGCAACAGACGAUAAAACAUACUUAGCGAUAAGCUCAAGUCUCACAUAAAACUGUCAAAAAAACAAGAAUUGAGCACAGAGUUAUCAGAUUUCUUGAUUUAACUGCUAAGUAAUUAUUAGUGUGGCAGAUAAAAUUUGUUUUUUUCUUUUCUUUCCUAGAUGAUGUAACUUUUAUUUGUUGGGUGAACUUGACCUACCGGACAGAACACAAACAACAAGGAGAUUCAUCAGUGGACAUAUAAAGCGGUUAAACAGACCACAUGACAAACACUCACUGGCCAGCAAUUACGAGGGCAAGAAAAGCAACAAGCAAAAGAAUAAUUGAAGUCUUACUCUUUGCAUCCAUCUUUGUUGAGGCAUGCUGCAAGGCGGCCACUAAGGAGACGUCCGUAAUGAAAGUACGCUGAUAUAUGUUUACGACACAUAGAUUUUUAAGAAAACAGUGUGAGAAGCAAUGUGGAUCACGUUAAAAGUUGCUUGGCCAUCCUAAAGUUAGGAGUCGGCUUCAGUAGAGGUGAGCUGUGACACUGUUUUCUCCUGGUUUUGUUAGGUUUA